rnacentral:rRNA from 1 species
UGAGGAAUAUUGCGCAAUGGGGGGAACCCUGACGCAGCAACGCCGCGUGGAGGACGAAGGCCCUUGGGUUGUAAACUCCUUUUCCGAGGGAAGAGAAAGGACGGUACCUCGGGAAUAAGUCACGGCUAACUACGUGCCAGCAGCCGCGGUAAUACGGAGGUGGCAAGCGUUAUCCGGAGUUACUGGGCGUAAAGGGCAUGCAGGCGGCCAGUCAAGUCCGAUGUGAAAACUCCCGGCUCUACUGGGAGAGGACGUUGGAAACUGAUUGGCUUGAGGCAAUGAGAGGGGUACAGAAUUCCCGGUGUAGUGGUGGAAUGCGUAGAUAUCGGGAGGAAUACCUGUGGCGAAAGCGGUACCCUGGCAUUGUACUGACGCUCAUGUGCGAAAGCGUGGGGAGCAAACGGGAUUAGAUACCCCCGUAG